ACCUCAACUUAAAAUGUUUCUUCUGUGUUUGUAGUUGUGCUGAGUGGAUACUAAAAUGAAAGCCGCCAUCUCAUGGUAAGCAACCCAAAUUGCGCACUUCUUUUAAUGGUUACUGGUGUAGUGGACUGAAGUAGUUUCUUAAACUCUGUAACUGAGUUCAUAUUGAUGGCAAACGUUUAAUUACAUCAGGACACGAUAAUUUGCAGAUGAAGUUGCUUAUUGAACAGUUUUGAAACUUAAGUUCUCUCCUCUUUUUUUUCAGGUUAAUGAUGACCCCUCCAUGGUUUGACUUCCACCAGAGGGCACCAUGGGCCCCUGAGACUGAAGAGACACACGUCGGCUAGUGUAGCUACAAAAGGUGUGCCAAGUUGUUGUCAGCUGCACAACAUCUAGAAAAGAUGAUGCAGUUUCACAUUGCUGGAGACCCAGUUCUCACAUUGGAGGAUCAGUUUAAGGGGUGUGUCCAACAUCACUCAAUGCCACAUGAAGAAAUGUGAAACCCAGCUGUUGGAUGAUUCUCAUAGCAAUGUGUUGGUAAGUAUCAUUUAAGACUAGGACACUGUACAUGAUCCUUCAGACGUGAUGAGUUUGAAUCAGGUCGCUGAUCCAGUUGAGGAAACUUGAUGCAUAAUCUGAUCUGGAUCAUACAGUUAUUAACUUGACUUCUUGUUUGAAACAUUACUUAUAAUGCGUCUUUAUCUUUUCAGAGUCAGCAAAUUCCCUUAAUGGGAUUGUGAUGGUCGUGCACAGGAUGUCUCAAAGUCAUGGUUAUACACAUUCACUUUGGAGGCCCUGUUGAAGAAGACUGACAAAAGGAAAAAGCUUCACCCCUCACUAAUAUAGGUAAGCAUUUGAAUGUACACUUUGUUUCCAAUAGGACUCUUAAAUUGGCCACACUACCAGUGAUGAAAAGAUUCUGCCAAAUGAUAUCGCUUGAUUAUAACCCUUACCGUUCCAUAUUUUCUGAGUUUUUGUGGUCAAAUAUCUGUUCUGCCAGUUUACUGUGAAAAUAGAGAUCUGCUUUUAAAUGGAAAUUGUCUUCUCAGGAAUGACGCUGUUGAGCCUAAUUGCCCGGCAUGUCAAGCCCUACACCUGUCUCUGAAAUGCUGUGAGGUGUUCGCUGUGGAAAACCUGCAACUUCAAGACAAUGUCAUUUGAUGUAGAACAUCCAAUAAAAAAACUGAAGAACA